AAUUCCGACUUCAUGCAUCGCGGGUUGCAGCCUGCAAUCUGAACUGAGACCAUUUUUAGGGGUUUGCUCCACAUCGCUGUUUUGCUUCCCUCUGUUGAUGGCCAUUGUAGUACGUGUGUAGCCCAGGUCAUAAGGGGCAUGAUGAUUUGACGUCGUCCCCACCUUCCUCCGUUUUGUCAACGGCAGUCCUAUUAGAGUGCUCUUGCGUAGCAACUAAUAGCAAGGGUUGCGCUCGUUGCGGGACUUAACCCAACAUCUCACGACACGAGCUGACGACAACCAUGCACCACCUGUCUCAACUUUCCCCGAAGGGCACCUGAUGUAUCUCUACUUCGUUAGUUGGAUGUCAAGACCUGGUAAGGUUCUUCGCGUUGCUUCGAAUUAAACCACAUACUCCACUGCUUGUGCGGGCCCCCGUCAAUUCCUUUGAGUUUCAACCUUGCGGCCGUACUCCCCAGGGGGAUUACUUAUUGUGUUAACUCCGGCACGGAAGGGGUCAGUCCCCCCACACCUAGUAAUCAUCGUUUACAGCGUGGACUACCAGGGUAUCUAAUCCUGUUUGCUACCCACGCUUUCGUGCCUUAGCGUCAGUUAA
rnacentral:rRNA from 1 species